AUUGAACGCUGGCGGCAGGCCUAACACAUGCAAGUCGAGCGAGCGGCGGACGGGUGAGUAAUGUAUGGUGACUGCCUGAUAGAGGGGGAUAACUACUGGAAACGGUGUCUAAUACCGCAUACUAUCGUAUAACCCAUAUGGGAUUAGUUAGUAGGUGGGGUAAAGGCUUACCUAGGCGACGAUCUCUAUCUGGUCGGAUAGGAUGAUCAGUCACCCUGGGACUGAGACGUGGCCCAGACUUCUACGGAGGCAGCAGCGGGGAAUAUUGCACAAUGGGCGAAGGGCUGAUGCAGCCAUGCCGCUGGUAUGCUGAAGGCCUUAGGGUUGUAAAGUACUUUCAGCGGGGAGGCGUUGCCCGCAGAAGAAGCACCGGCUAACUCCGUGCCAGCAGCCGCGGUAAUAC
rnacentral:rRNA from 1 species